rnacentral:rRNA from 1 species
AACGGAUUAGAUACCCUGGUAGUCCACGCCGUAACGAUGAUUACUCGUUGUUGGCGAUAUAAAGUCAGCGACUGAGCGAAAGCAUUAAGUAAUCCACCUGGGGAGUACGGCGGCAACGCUGAAACUCAAAGGAAUUGACGGGGGCCCGCACAAGCGGAGGAACAUGUGGUUUAAUUCGAUGAUACGCGAGGAACCUUACCUGGGCUUAAAUGUAGCGUGACCGUAUCCGAAAGGGUAUUUCCAAGCAAUUGGCAGGUUACAAGGUGCUGCAUGGCUGUCGUCAGCUCGUGCCGUGAGGUGUCGGGUUAAGUCCCAUAACGAGCGCAACCCCUAUUGUUAGUUGCCAGCGGGUCAAGCCGGGAACUCUAACGAGACUGCCACCGUAAGGUGAGAGGAAGGUGGGGAUGACGUCAAGUCAGCACGGCCCUUAUGUCCAGGGCUACACACGUGUUACAAUGGUCAGUACAAAGGGCAGCGACCUGGUGACAGGAAGCAAAUCCCGAAAACUGAUCUCAGUUCGGAUCGAAGUCUGCAACUCGACUUCGUGAAGUUGGAUUCGCUAGUAAUCGUAUAUCAGCAAUGAUACGGUGAAUACGUUCCCGGGCCUUGUACACACCGCCCGUCAAGCCAUGGAAGCCGGGGGUACCUGAAGUCCGUAACCGCAAGGGGCGGCCUAGGGUAAAACUGGUGACUGGGGCUAAGUCGUAACAAGGUAUC